rnacentral:rRNA from 1 species
GAUGAACGCUAGCGGCAGGCUUAACACAUGCAAGUCGAGGGGUAACAGGAGAAAGCUUGCUUUCUCGCUGACGACCGGCGAACGGGUGCGUAACACGUAUGCAACCUACCCUUUACAGGGGGAUAGCCCAGAGAAAUCUGGAUUAAUACCCCAUAACAUUAAGUUUUCGCAUGAUUACUUAAUUAAAACUUCGGUGGUAAAGGAUGGGCAUGCGGCCCAUUAGUUUGUUGGUGAGGUAACGGCUCACCAAGACUACGAUGGGUAGGGGUUCUGAGAGGAUUAUCCCCCACACUGGUACUGAGACACGGACCAGACUCCUACGGGAGGCAGCAGUGAGGAAUAUUGCGCAAUGGACGAAAGUCUGACGCAGCCAUGCCGCGUGAAGGAUGACUGCCCUAUGGGUUGUAAACUUCUUUUAUGUGCCAAGAAACCCCCGGACGUGUCCGGGGCUGACGGUAGCACACGAAUAAGGACCGGCUAACUCCG